CUUGCAAGACCCAGCUGGCUCACGCCAUUCGCCUGUUCCUGGAGUAUACAGACACAAGCUAUGAGGACAAGAAGUACAGCAUGGGGGAUGCUCCCGACUAUGACAGAAGCCAGUGGCUGAGUGAGAAGUUCAAACUGGGCCUGGACUUCCCCAAUCUGCCCUACUUAAUUGAUGGGUCACACAAGAUCACCCAGAGCAAUGCCAUCCUGCGCUACCUUGGCCGGAAGCACAACCUUUGUGGGGAGACAGAGGAGGAGAGGAUUCGUGUGGACGUUUUGGAGAACCAGGCUAUGGACACCCGCCUACAGUUGGCCAUGGUCUGCUACAGCCCUGACUUUGAGAGAAAGAAGCCAGAGUACUUAGAGGGUCUCCCUGAGAAGAUGAAGCUUUACUCCGAAUUCC
rnacentral:lncRNA from 1 species